GGAAGCGGGGAGGAGCCGCCGCCAGAGCCAGACUGCAUCCGCCGCGGCGUCUCCAUGGCACAACCCUGGCCUCCGACUUCAAAGACUACAUAAGGCGGCGUUUCUGGGCGCAGCCGUGUCGCUCCUGGACAGUUGCUGUGCGACUUGGACAGUAGAGGAGCGCCUCCCAAGUUUUCAUCCAACUGCCAACCCCAAAGCUUCCACCCUUCUCCCCUCAGAGAGCACGUUUGAUGCCGGGCCCCUUGAGAGGCUCAUUGACAAGCCCGCCCCUCUGGGUCCCCCUGAGCAGAGCCUGCUGACCCAAUUGCCCACCUUUGCGGCUUUGAUGCCUAGCCAUGUCUGCCUCAUCCUCAGGCGGCUCCCCCAGGUUUCCAUCGUGUGGGAAGAACGGAGUAACGAGUCUCACGCAGAAAAAGGUCUUGAGAGCACCUUGUGGCGCACCCAGUGUAACUGUGACGAAGCCAACCAUGAAGGACCGCUCUUCAACUCCCCCCUUACAUGUUCACGUGGAUGAGAACACCCCUGUCCACGUCCACAUAAAAAAACUCCCGAAACCAUCAGCGACCAGCAGCCAGAAAUCUCACAAGCGAGGAAUGAAAGGGGACACUGUGAAUGUGCGGCGGAGUGUCCGGGUGAAAACCAAGGUACCUUGGAUGCCCCCUGGAAAAUCAUCUGCCCGGCCUGUGGGAUGCAAGUGGGAGGUAGGCUCACCCUUGCCCAGGCUUUUCUUCUCGGACUGCUCAGAUCCUAGCAGGCCUCAGCCUCGGUAUGAUUCAGGGUCAGCUAUAGCUACUGGAAUGUCCUAACAGACCCCAUUUACUGAGGGCCUUGCUAAACCCUGAAACUGUGUGAAUCUUCUUGAGUUCUUAUGAUACUGCUGUGUGGAAAGUCCUGCUGUCCAAAGGCAGAGAUUAGGAACCAGACCUCAGAGAGAAGUGAUUUUCCCAGAGUCACAGAGAAGGUAGCAGAGCUGGAGUUAAGAUUCAUUCUAGAGGCAGUACUCUUAG
rnacentral:sRNA from 1 species